rnacentral:tRNA from 1 species
GGGCGAGUGGCGGAAUCGGCAUACGCGGCAGACUUAAAAUCUGCUGUCCGUUAAGGAUAUGAGGGUUCGAGUCCCUCCUCGCCCA